rnacentral:rRNA from 1 species
GGAUUGUAGUCUGCAACCCGACUACAUGAAGCCGGAAUCGCUAGUAAUCGCGGAUCAGAAUGCCGCGGUGAAUACGUUCCCGGGUCUUGUACACACCGCCCGUCACACCAUGGGAGUUGGAAAUGCCCGAAGUCAGUGGCCCAACCGGAAGGGGGGAGCUGCCGAAGGCAGGUUCGAUGACUGGGGUGAAGUCGUAACAAGGUAUC